GUCGGUGCAGGUGGUGUCGGUGUAGUGGAUCCGUCGGUGCAGGUGGUGUCGGUGUAGUGGAUCCGUCGGGUGCAGGUGGUGUCGGUGUAGUGGAUCCGUCGCGUGCAGGUGGUGUCGGUGUAGUGGAUCCGUCGCGUGCAGGUGGUGUCGGUGUAGUGGAUCCGUCGCGUGCAGGUGGUGUCGGUGUAGUGGAUCCGUCGGUGCAGGUGGUGUCGGUGUAGUGGAUCCCGCGGUGCAGGUGGUGUCGGUGUAGUGGAUCCCGCGGUGCAGGUGGUGUCGGUGUAGUGGAUCCCGCGGUGCAGGUGGUGUCUGUGUAGUGGAUCUGUCGGUGUAGUGGAUCCGUCGGUGCAGGCGGUGUCGGUGUAGUGGAUCCGUCGGGUGCAGGUGGUGUCGGUGUAGUGGAUCCCGUGGUGUCGGUGUGUAGUGGAUCCGUCGUUGCAGGUGGUGUCGGUGUAGUGGAUCCGUCGGUGCAGGUGGUGUCGGUGUAGUGGAUCCGUCGGGUGCAGGUGGUGUCGGUGUAGUGGAUCCGUCGGUGCAGUGGAUCCGUCGCGUGCAGGUGGUGUCGGUGUAGUGGAUCCGUCGGUGCAGGUGGUGUCGGUGUAGUGGAUCCCGCGGUACAGGUGGUGUCGGUGUAGUGGAUCCCGCGGUGCAGGUGGUGUCGGUGUAGUGGAUCCCGGUCGGACAAAAACAAGACAUUUGAGUUCUUGGGAUCUGAGAACUUGUGAUGAACGUUUUUCUGAGAUUUAUCGACUAAUUGAUUAAUCAGUUUCCUGCAGCCUCUGCUUUCCCUAACAUCUGA